UACUACUUCCGGGUACAACAACAUGUGGAAUAUAUAAAGUCGUAACAGAGAAUCGGCGCUAAUAUGUAAUUUGGUGUAUUGUCAAGCGAUCGGCUGCAUACAUGAGACUGGGAAAACCCUGCCAUGUAGUUUAUUUAGGUUCCUAGUCGAUGCUACAGUAAGGAAGCGGUGGAUACAAAAAUUUAGACACAAAGUUAAGAAACCUGCUGAAGCAGAAGCAUCUGCUUCAAACGUACAUGUAGGAACCGAAGUUGAUACUGCUACCAAUAUAUCUGUACCAGACAACAAUGAAGUGCAUCUACAUGAUCACGAGUAUACAGCACCAAACCCUCAACAUUUAAAAAGCUUCCCUUGAAGACUAUGAUGUUGUAAACUUGCAGUGAGAAAUAUACCUGCUUAAUUAAAAGAAACCAUCCUUGACAAUUGGGAACAUCAUAAUUGAAAGACCCUGGAAAGGGAUCAUGAACACUGUUGGGAGUGUCGUUUCAACUGAAAUAUAAAAGUCAGAAGAAUUGAAGAUUGCAAUGGAUGCAACAGAAGUGACCUAAUAUGACCAAAUUGAUAUGAAUAGCCAGUUUUUCGCUUGCAGUAAUGACAAGAGUCGCCACAGAAAAAAAGACCUUAAUGUGUAUUACACCCAAUGCAGCUUAUUUCCAAUGUGUAUGCUGGAUACAAAUCUAAUUUGGCAAUUGUGAACCAUUGUGGCAUUUUAGAGAAGUUGCAAGUUGGUGAUAUAUUCCUGGCGGACAAAGGAUUUUGUAUAUUUGACAAACUUCCAAAUGAUAUGACACUUAAUAACCCAUUCUUUCUUACAAAUAAAUCCCACUUCUCAAAAGAGGAUGCACAACUUUGCUAUAAAAUUUCCAGAUGCCGAAUCCAUGUUGGAUGGGAAAAUGAGAGAAUUUUUUUUUUUUUAAAAAUUCCUUAGUCAUAUUCUAUCGUAGUAUAGAUAUUGAUCUGACAAAAUAUUUCAGAUUUGUGUGGAUCAUGUAAAUUUGCAGGUUCCCCUUUUGAAGGAGAUUGCAGAUAAAUCCUACACACUUAUUAGAUUAAUUGCAUGUAUAUAUAUACCUUAAAUCUGCACAUACCUGCCACAUUGAAUUUUUAAAGUUAAAAGUAAUGAAUGCAAGGUGAAGAUAACGAAUAGUGAUCAAUCUCAUAACUCCUACAAGCAAUACAAAAUAGAUAGUUGGGCAAACACGGACCCCCGGACACACCAGAGGUGGGAUCAGGUGCCUAGGAGGAGUAAGCAUCCCCUGUGGACCGGUCACACCCGCCGUGAGCCCCAUAUCCUGAUCAGGUAAACGGAGUUAUCCGCAGUCAAAAAUACCAUAUAUGCAAUAUAACUUUUCUACAUAUUUAUAUAAAUAUAAAGCCUUUUAUAUUCAUAUGAAUAUAAAGCCCUUUGGAACGUCUCCAUCAGAAUGAAAUAUUCUCUCGAGGAACGUUAAACAAUAUACAAUCAAACAUAAAGCCUUUUGUUCUCAUUCUGAAGGUUUUCAAAUCUGCAUUAUUAGAAAAGAAGUAAAAUCCAUUGUUUUAGUAAAUGCAUGUAAUUGAAUGAUUUUUGUAAAGCUGGACACUGUGUCUAUACAUACAUGUAUUUUGGUUCAUCUAAAAUAAGAAAAACUCUGUCUAUAAUGUUUAUUCAAUAAAUAUACAUGUAAUUACAUAA